AUUGAACGCUGGCGGCAUGCUUUACACAUGCAAGUCGAACGGCAGCGCGGGCUUCGGCCUGGCGGCGCGUGGCGAACGGGUGAGUAAUGCAUCGGAACGUGCCCAGCUGUGGGGGAUAGCCCGGCGAAAGCCGGAUUAAUACCGCAUACGACCUGAGGGUGAAAGCGGGGGACCGAAAGGCCUCGCGCUAUUGGAGCGGCCGAUGUCGGACUAGCUAGUUGGUGGGGUAAAGGCUUACCAAGGCGACGAUCCGUAGCUGGUCGGAGAGGACGACCAGCCACACUGGGACUGAGACACGGCCCAGACUCCUACGGGAGGCAGCAGUGGGGAAUUUUGGACAAUGGGGGCAACCCUGAUCCAGCCAUGCCGCGUGCGGGAAGAAGGCCUUCGGGUUGUAAACCGCUUUUGUUCGGGAAGAAAUCCUCUGGGCUAAUACCCCGGGGGGAUGACGGUACCGGAAGAAUAAGCACCGGCUAACUACGUG
rnacentral:rRNA from 1 species